rnacentral:rRNA from 1 species
UACGUAGGGUGCAAGCGUUGUCCGGAAUUAUUUGGGCGUAAAGAGCUCGUAGGCGGUCUGUCGCGUCGGCUGUGAAAACUCGGGGCUCAACUCCGAGCUUUGCAGUCGAUACGGGCAGGCUAGAGUUUCGGCAGGGGGAGACUGGAAUUUCCUUGGUGUAGCGGUGAAAUGCGCAGAUAUCAGGAGGAACACCAACGGCGAAGGCAGCACUCUGGGCCGGUACUGACGCUGAGGAGCGAAAGCGUGGGGAGCGAACAGG